CGAGUGGGAAGGCCACCAUCUUGCUGAAGGGUAAACGAGCUGUCUGGAGAAGGAGGGUGGUGAAGCGAUGCUGACCGGCUCCAUGGCGGCGGGCUGCGCUGCUCUCUACCACAAGAGUGUCAAUGGCAACUUCCCUUAGCACUGUCCGGGGCGGCAGCGCCAGCCACGGCGCUUCUGGGGCACGGGUCCUCCUGGGCACUCGUGGGUGCUUGUUCCCCCGAGCCGCAGACCUUUUCUCCGUUGGUGAGGCCCGUGCCCUGCCGCCCCCCAAACGGUGCACGGGUUUCUAAAGAAGGAAAAGCGGCGGGUGUCCUGGCAGUGCACAGCACCCUGGUAGGCAUCGCUAACCCACCAGCUCUCUCCCAGCACCUAAGCGGCUGUUGAAAUUUUUAAGAGGGAGGUUUCUGGGAAGCUCUCCCGACCUGUAAGUGCUUUGAAGUUCCGAUUGGCCUUAAUGGCUCCUGUGACAGGACUGAAAAUUGAGCGUCGGAGGGGAAACAUUUGAAAUCUUCCUAAGAAGAAAGAGGUUUAUAUCCAAGAAAGAAAAUCCAACUUCAAAAUAAACAUUAAGUGUAAAC